GAAAACCUCGCAACUAAAGGGAGAAAUUGAUAUUUCGUAUAAUUUCCUGGUGGAUAUGUCUGGAAACGUAUAUGAAGGAACUGGAUGGGAAUACACCACAAGUAAAAUGACGUCACGAUUGGUUAUUGGUGUAUUAGGUGACUACACAUGCACAGAUGUCAAAUUAAGAUCUGUUGCAGCUAUUAAAAACCUGAUUAAAUGUGGCGUAGAAAUGGCGAAGAUAUCAAAAAGCUAUGCAUUAGUGAGUGGAAGACAGACUAGAAAACCUGAUUGUUUAACAACAACUUGUAUGGGAGAUAGUCUUCUUUGUACCAUCAUGAAGUGGAAAUACUGG